rnacentral:rRNA from 1 species
CAGCAGCCGCGUAAUACGUAGGUGGCGAGCGUUGUCCGGAAUUACUGGGCGUAAAGGAUGCGUAGGUGGAUACUUAAGUGGGAUGUGAAAUCCCCGGGCUCAACCCGGGAACUGCAUUCCAAACUGGGUAUCUAGAGUGCAGGAGAGGAAAGCGGAAUUCCUAGUGUAGCGGUGAAAUGCGUAGAUAUUAGGAGGAACACCAGUGGCGAAGGCGGCUUUCUGGACUGUAACUGACACUGAGGCAUGAAAGCGUGGGUAGCAAACAGGAUUAGAUACCCUGGUAGUCCACGCCGUAAACGAUGGGUACUAGGUGUAGGAGGUAUCGACCCCUUCUGUGCCGUCGUUAACACAAUAAGUACCCCGCCUGGGGAGUACGGUCGCAAGACUAAAACUCAAAGGAAUUGACGGGGGCCCGCACAAGCAGCGGAGCAUGUGGUUUAAUUCGAAGCAACGCGAAGAACCUUACCUAGACUUGACAUCUCCUGAAUUACCCUUAACCGGGGAAGCCCUUCGGGGCAGGAAGACAGGUGGUGCAUGGUUGUCGUCAGCUCGUGUCGUGAGAUGUUGGGUUAAGUCCCGCAACGAGCGCAACCCUUAUUUUUAGUUGCUACCAUUUGGUUGAGCACUCUAAAGAGGCUGCCCGGGUUAACCGGGAGGAAGGUGGGGAUGACGUCAAAUCAUCAUGCCCCUUAUGUCUAGGGCUACACACGUGCUACAAUGGUGAGAACAAAGAGACGCGAGACCGCGAGGUGGAGCAAAUCUCAUAAAACUCAUCCCAGUUCGGAUUGCAGGCUGAAACUCGCCUGCAUGAAGCCGGAGUUGCUAGUAAUCGCGAAUCAGCAUGUCGCGGUGAAUACGUUCCCGGGCCUUGUACACACCGCCCGUCACACCAUGAGAGUCGGCAAUACCCGAAGCCCGUGGGGCAACCAGUAAUGGAGCCAGCGGCCGAAGGUAGGGUCAGCGAUUGGGGUGAAGUCGUAACAAGGUAGCCGU